UACAGAGGGUGCAAGCGUUGUUCGGAAUUAUUGGGCGUAAAGGGAGUGUAGGCGGUCCAUUAAGUCUUCUGUGAAAUCUACGGGCUUAGCCUGUAACGUGCAGAGGAAACUGGUGGACUUGAGUGUCGGAGAGGAUAGGGGAAUACCCGGUGUAGAGGUGAAAUUCGUAGAGAUCGGGUGGAACACCAGUGGCGAAGGCGCCUAUCUGGCUGACAACUGACGCUGAGACUCAAAAGCAUGGGGAGCAAACAGG
rnacentral:rRNA from 1 species